GAGUCGUCUCCGAAGGACGCGGAGUCGUCCCCACGCAUAAAAGACAAACAUCCCGAGACGUCCCCAGAAAGCGCGGAGUCGACUCUCUCAAGGAUUCCAGAGGACUUGUUUUUCGUUGAUAAAACUACGGAGUCGUCCCCGACGUCGCGGAGUCGUCCCCAUGCAAAAAGCGCAAACAUCCCGAGACGUCCCCGUAAAGUGCCGAGCCGACUCUCUCAGAAAAACAGAAAAACAAGCAUUCAAGCUGUUCUUCUUCAGAGACGUCCCCGUAAAGCGCCGAGUCGACUCCAAACAUCGUCAAAAGAAUUUUUAU
rnacentral:lncRNA from 1 species